AGCCUUCCACCCUCACGUGGUUUCUUUUCUAGCCAAUCAUCAAGCAGGGCUCGCGCUCAGGCCCUUCGUUAGAGAAUGGCGGGGAAGCUGCAACCGCUGAAUGUGGAGGCGCCGGAAGCCGCGGAGGAGGCUGAAGGGCAAGCCAAGUCUUUGAGGAGUGAAGACUUGCUGGCAAUGGUGAUAAAGCUGCAGAAAGAGGGAAGCCUGGAGCCACAGAUAGAGGACCUGGUUAACCGGAUUAAUGAGCUUCAGCAAGCACAAAAGAAAUCCAGUGAGGAACUGAGAGACACCCGCACUCUCCAGGAGGCCCUGCAUAGGGAAUUAGACUCCUUAAAUGGAGAGAAAGUGCACCUAGAGGAGGUCUUGAGCAAAAAGCAAGAGGCACUGAGGAUCCUCCAGCUGCACUGCCAAGAGAAGGAAAGUGAGGCUCAGAGGUUGGAUGUCAAAGGAGAGCUGGAGGAUCUGAUGGGCCAGCACAAGGACCUCUGGGAAUUCCAUAUGCUGGAGCAGCGACUGGCCCGGGAGAUCCGUGACCUGGAGAAGAGCAAGGAGCAGCUGCUCUCGGAGAGAAGGCUGGUGCGCGCCAAGCUGCGGGAGGCGGAGCGGCGGCUGCGCUCACCGUCUGAUGUCGAGGGCGCCAAGGCGGCGGAGGACGGGUGAGAGGGGAAGGAAGGCGUGAGCGAGGUGGGCAGGGGCAAGGAGGAGCGGAGCGGGCCCAGGUCUACCUCUCCGCCCCCCACUGCCCCUCCCCGGCCUGUGCCUCCCUCGGUGUCGUCGGGUUUCCGCCUCUCGGUGGCUUCCUCCUCUGUCCUCGGCACCUUCUCCGCAGGCUGAGGGAGGAGCUGGAGAUAUUCGGGGAGCAGGUCCAGAGCGCCCUCGAGGUCCGGGUCGGCCAGAGAGAGGAGCAGGACAGAAGUUUGUAUUACAGGCUCGUAGCAUCGGAGGUUUCUGAUGGAGCAGACAACUCGAGGAAGGCCGG